rnacentral:rRNA from 1 species
UACGUAGGUGGCAAGCGUUGUCCGGAUUUACUGGGCGUAAAGGAUGCGUAGGCGGACAUUUAAGUCAGAUGUGAAAUACCCGAGCUUAACUUGGGUGCUGCAUUUGAAACUGGGUGUCUAGAGUGCAGGAGAGGUAAGUGGAAUUCCUAGUGUAGCGGUGAAAUGCGUAGAGAUUAGGAAGAACACCAGUGGCGAAGGCGCCUUACUGGACUGUAACUGACGCUGAGGCAUGAAAGCGUGGGGAGCAAACAGG